UCUUUUCCAAUGCAGUUCUGGGCGCAAAGAGAAGCCCGCUGACCCUGUAGAAUGGACAGUGAUGGACGUGGUAGAAUAUUUCACAGAGGCUGGCUUCCCGGAGCAGGCAACAGCUUUCCAAGAACAGGAAAUAGAUGGCAAGUCUCUUCUGCUCAUGCAGCGGACAGAUGUGCUAACCGGCCUGUCCAUCCGCCUUGGCCCAGCCC